AAAACGACUCUCGGUGACGCAUCUCUUGGCUCUCGCAUCGAUGAAGAACGUAGAGCAUUGCUUUACUUGUUGUGAAUUGCUUAAUCCCGUGAACCAUCGAGUCUUUGAACGCAAGUUGCGCCCGAAGCCUUUGGGCCAAGGGCACGUCUGCCUGGUCGUCACGC
rnacentral:rRNA from 1 species